rnacentral:rRNA from 1 species
AGCGAACGCUGGCGGCAGGCCUAACACAUGCAAGUCGAACGGAUCCUUCGGGAUUAGUGGCGGACGGGUGAGUAACACGUGGGAACGUGCCCUUUGGUUCGGAACAACUCUGGGAAACUUGAGCUAAUACCGGAUGUGCCCUUCGGGGGAAAGAUUUAUCGCCAUUGGAGCGGCCCGCGUCUGAUUAGCUAGUUGGUGAGGUAAAGGCUCACCAAGGCGACGAUCAGUAGCUGGUCUGAGAGGAUGAUCAGCCACAUUGGGACUGAGACACGGCCCAAACUCCUACGGGAGGCAGCAGUGGGGAAUCUUGCGCAAUGGGCGAAAGCCUGACGCAGCCAUGCCGCGUGAAUGAUGAAGGUCUUAGGAUUGUAAAAUUCUUUAC